rnacentral:tmRNA from 1 species
CGAGGGGAUGUGCAUUGGGGCAGCCGACCAUGCUACACUGCGCGCAUAGUCGUACAAAGACCGCCACGUUGGGGCGCUCCGGACGGGGGUUCGAUUCCCCCCGGCUCCACCAGAUGCCGAUGCCGAAAGACGAGGCGUCGUUAUCUGAUGGGGUCGACCUGGUUUCGACGGGGUGAGGAUACCGAAGCGGACGGCUCGAAAGGUGACGCACGUUAAGCGCACAAUCUUGUAAAUGCAAACGAUCGCAAUUACGCUGUAGCGGCCUAAUAUCCGCUUACGGAGCCUUCCCGGCUUGGCAACAGAAGAGGGACGCGGCCCCUUCGGGGGCCGUUGUUG